GGGGAUAACAUAAUUUUGGAUGAAUAAAUGAAUAUUUUUUUAUAAAAAUGAAAAGUCACCUUACUUUUUGAUCACACCUCGUACUCCUAAUAUUUCCUUUCUGCUAAGAGACUUUCGAUGGAACCAAGGAUAUUUGCGAGAGUCUUGCUGAUACAAGGCAGCAUGUUGGGCGCCUGUUCUGUGAGCAGCGUCCUCGAGGUAUGCUUUGAACUUGUUACAUUUAUCGAUGUUAGCCAUAGCAAAGAAGUCUGCGUAGGGUAUCCGAAAUGGUGGAGCGUAGCCGCAACGAGCAGCUUCUUUAGCAGCUGCAUCCGCUGCCUCAUUUCCUGGAAUUCCUCUGUGUGCCGGCAUCCAACAGAGGGUCUGGUUUACCCCGGCUUCAUUAAAAGUAAACAGCUUAUAUUUAAGUCGAUAGACGACGUAAUUAUCGGCUUUGUGACUGUCUUGCGUAACGGCGCGUAACACGCUGAGAGAAUCCGUGAAAAUCACUACAUUCUUCCAAUGGAGUUCCUCAAUGAUGCUAACAGCCUCGAGUAGGGCCCAUGCUUCGGCGGUGAAAAUAGACGUUUCGGCGUGUAAUUUAUGGAUGAUAGAGCGGCAGGGGAUCCAGACACUGGCUCCCACGCGAAUUCCUUUUCGGAUUUGGUUCCGUUUGUGUAUAGUUUGACAUGCAAACUAAAUUGUUCCUCUACUAAACAGCGGAAGCUUUGUCUGAUAAGUUCGUUAGGUUUGUCUUUUUCGAAUUUUGUAAGGGAAUCAUUGAUUUUCGGUUUAAAGCAAGAAACAGGAUAACUAUAUUGAAAUCUUGGAAUUACUGUACUGCGGAAAAUUCUGUUGCCAUCCCCGAUAACGUGUACGUAUAUUCCAAAGAUGGGAAAUCUUUUAAGGAUACUGAUUCUAUCCUGCUGGGAAGUCGCCACACCCUUCAGGGUUUCCUGAGAGGAGAUGACAGGAUUACUCUUGUUGGCUAGUGCUUUAUAUAGGUAUUUGGAAGAGAUAUGUGAGAUUCUAAUUUCGAGAGGGGGUUCUUUCGAGAGGGGGGAUAUGUGAGAUUCAAAGAGCAUAAUAUUGAUGGGAGUGGAAAUUCUGUAGCCAUAUGCAACUCUGAUGCAUGAAUAAUACAGACUGAUAAAUUAGCCUUUUGAGCUUUAGAAAAUUCAUGGAAUUGCGUUGAAAUUGAAAGAUCUGACCUCCGUAUUCUAUGGAGCUCCGAAAAAUUACUCUAUAGAUUUGAAGGAGUAUACGAGCGUGAGCGACUCCACCAGACUCCUGAAAGGAAAGAAAUGAUAUCAGCAAACUUUCUGCCUUUAACAAUUAAAUGUUUUAGGUGAACGUUUUCUCUGAGUUUACUAUCAAACCAGACGCCCAGAAAGCGUCGACCCGGGGUAUGGGAUUGUCGUUAAUGAUAAUGUUAGGAAUAUCAUUUGUGUUGAGUUUUGAUGAUAGUUUCCUAGAAAAAAUAAUGAGCUGAGAUUUUUUAGACGACAGAUCCAAGCCUCUCUCAUUAAGGAAAAGGGAAAUGCGAUCUAUAGUAGCCUGCAAGGCAGCAAUAGCGUUUCUCUCAUUAUCAGAAACCACAAACAUCGCGAGGUCGUUAGCGUAUUGUAAAAUCUGGGUAUUUCCAGCCAAGUGUUUGCCUAUAUUUCGAAGAUAAAUGUUGAAGAGUGAGGGACUAAGAAUGGAAUCCUGUGAAGUAUCCUUAUGUACACGGUAUGGACCCUUUAGUUCGCCGCCAACUACAAAGAAUAUCUCUCUUUUGCUAGUGAGAUUGUAAAUAAAGCGAAAAAAAUUCGGGGGAAAGCCUAUAUUUAUAAAUUCCUGUACCAGAAUAGCAGGAAUGACGUUAUCGAAAGCGUCCAUGAUGUCAAGGAAAGCGCACGCGACGAGUUUGCCCUCGAGGAAGGCGGAUUGCACAUAGCUAGAAAGAGAGACCAAAUUGUCUACACAAGUCCUGUUAGCUCUGAAGCCAGCCUGAAAAUCAGGCAGAGAGCAUCUAUUUUCCAUAGCCCAUCUAAGUCUAAAAUAUAAAAUUUUUUCCAGGACUUUAAGAAAACAUGAUAGAAGAGAAAUUGAUCUAACUCCUCCUUGCGGCUUGGGUAUCAGCACGAUGAGCGAUUGAGACCAUUGUUUCGGAAACCGACCCUCCUGUAAGAGGGCAUUAAACAGAUCCACAAGUACGAUAAUGAAUUCGUGGGGCAAGCUUUAAUAAUUUUGUAGGAGAAUUGGUCAAGCCCAGGAGCAGAGGAAUUCUUCAUACCAUCUAUGGCCGCCAUGACUUCAGGAAGAGAAACACUCAGGUCCAUGCCUUGUAAGUCAGUAUUGGAUGCAUCCUGUGGGUCGCCAUUGCUAUCACUAAAAGAGCUCGAUGUGCCAUUAGUCCAAGAAGGAUCCUGAAAGUAAUGCAGACAUGAGGGAGGGUAGAGCUUAUCAAUAAUAGCUGAUUGCGCUUUAAUGACAUUCUCAGUGUCAGGUUGAGUAUGUGCGUUGACUAGACUGCGCUUUUUGAAAAGUUUGAUCAAAGACCAGAGCUAAGCGGUAGGAGUUUUGGAAUUAAACGUGUAACAAUUCUUCCAACCUUUGCUUUUGUGUUUUUUGAGAAGUUUGGUACACGAUCUUUUGGUCUGCAUGAAGUGAUUGUAAUUUACAAGCGUGGAAUAUUUUUUAUAGAUGGCAGUGGCUUCUUUACUAAGGUCGACGGCCCUCUGGCAAUCAUUAUUCCACCAGGGGGGGAGGGAAACAGAAGGCUUGAUGUUAACGGUUCUAGGAAAUCUUUGUUCUUCGAGAAUGAGAUCGAACAAGAUAUUCCUGAUAUGAUUGACAAAUGCUAUAUACUUCUCGCAACUGUUAGAGCUUGAGAGGUCUUCGAGUUUUAUAGGAUUUUUUUAAACAUAAGGCAUAAAAGAUUUUUAAUUGCUUCUUGGAGAGGCCAUUUGUAAAUAAAUUUUUUUGUAUGUUUAAUAGAUCCAUUGAUUUGUGUGGUUAGCGGAAAGUGAUCACUGCCCCAGGUGUCACUCAAUAUUUGGGAUAGACAUAGAGGAGCCAGUUUAUAAGAGGAGAGAGAGAGGUCUAUAAUUGAAUCUCUAGAUCCUGGAGCCGUCAUCAAGGUAGGGCUCAUUUCGUUGAGGAUAACAUAAUUGUGUAAUUCUAUAGCUUUGGCUAAAGACCGACCGGGACCAUCAUCAUAAGCGUUAUACCAAUGCAUAUGAUGGCAAUUAAAAUCGCCAAUCAAGAGUGUGAGUUGAAAUUUAUCCUGAAGUUCAAGCAGUCUAUUAAAAGCGGCGAGCGGAGUACAUCUGCCAGGAUGGCGAUAGGUGUUGAUAAUCACACACUGAGAAUUGUCAACCUUGAUAAUGAUUCCGAGAUUUCUAAAGAAGGGUGCGAAAAUGCGUCAAGGUCUAUGGUGGAAUAAGAAAUGUUUUCCUUGAUCAAGAUGCAGAGUCCCCGCAUGUUGGGGCCUGUAACAUCUCGCCUAACAGUGUGAUAGCCUUUGAAAUGGAAGUGGUUUGACUCAUACAGUAUAGUUUCUUGAAUGCAGAUUUUAUCGUAACUAAGCGCGAGAGACUGUAGGGUGGCCGCUUUGCUACGGAGACCCUGACAGUUCCAUUGUAAGAUAUUCACAACAUUAGACUUACGCGUCCGAUUGUCACCGUUAUGAGUGAGCUGUGCCCUCCCGUUAUAAUAAUAAUAAUUAUUAUUAUUGUUGCAAUGGUAUUGAAUAUGUUGUAUCGCGGAUGACAUUAUUUAAGUAGACCAAAAUUUAAGAUGUAAGGUUAGAGUCGAUUAAUACAGGGAGAACGUGAUUAGAUGAGGAUUGAUUGUUUUCUUUUAGACCGUUGUGUGAAGCCAUGCGAUCUCUAGAGUAUUCUACUGUGUGACUUGAAUUAAUUUGCAUUGUCAGGAUUAUUACCGUCAGUAUUAGUCCAAGAGUUAGCAAAAUAUUUAAAAAGGCUACUAAGUUUAUUAGUACUAAAGUAGUUAAUCAAAAAAUUAAUUGACUCUUCCAUAACCGCAUCAUAGUUUUUGUUAAGUAGUAGUGGGAAUAACUUUUGAAAGAAGAAACUGCUAAUAUCCUUAAUAAAAUCGCCAAAGCUUGCAAUGUUACAGUUUAGUUCAGAUGAAUGCCCAGCGUUUGCAGGUUCAUUUAAAUUGUUAUGGUCAUACACUACUCUAUUUCCUGAAGAGACCAGGGGACGGCCAUUGGGGUAACAUUGGUAAGGCCUGACCGGAUCCGUCGAGUGUCUGACGGGAGGGGGAGGACAAAGGUGAUAUGGGCUGUCACGUCUGCGAGAAAAGCUGGGCUCAUGUGAGAACAAAUGCGCAUGCGGAUCGCCAUUAGAACUGGACUGAAAGUUACUGCUGCCUGCGACCACUCCGGCAUAAGAACCAAGACGGCGAGAUGGAGCAGAGGAAUGAUGAACAUCUUCCAUAUUUUCAAGGGCGCCGAAUCUAUUCUGACUAUGAAAAUUGGGAAGGUAAUUAGUAUCAAGUGAGGGCCGGUUGGGCUUAUCCCUGAAGUGUUUAUUAUUUUUAAUGUAAUCGUUAUCUCUCAAGGGAGGGAAAUUACCGAAGUCCGUUCUAGGAUCACUAACAAUCUGAGGUGGACAAAAGUAUUGUGAGUUGACGUCAGGAUUGCUGCGUCUAAUAAUCUCUCUUGCUUGAAACAGGGGGAUGUUUUCAGUGGCCGCAAGGGAGGUGAUCUUUUUUUGGCUAAGGACUGUAGGACAGAUUGGAGACGUAACAAGGAAUGAAGGGGGUGACUUCAUGCUUGGAUUUAAAAAUGUAAACAUACUUUGGUAAUGUUUGUCCUGCAAAUUUAAUACUUAUGUAUGACGAAGGAA